UGUUCUGUGGCGGAGUUGGUUAACGCGCCCUGUCUAGCGGACUUGGGGAGACGUGGGUUCGAUUCCCACCAGAACUA
rfam:Aedes albopictus isolate Foshan contig51553, whole genome shotgun sequence.